CUUCAGUUCAUGUACUCCCUCCAUGUACUCCAAUUUGUUCUUUCGUCUUAUUUGAUAAAUUUUUUUAAAAAAAUAAAAAUAUAAGUCACGCAUAAAGUAUUAUUCAUAUUUUAUCAUCUUAUAACAAAAAUUUUCAAAUAAGACAGACGACUAAAGUUCGGCGCGGAAACUCAUGUUUGCAUUUAAA
rfam:Oryza rufipogon genomic scaffold, chr03